rnacentral:lncRNA from 1 species
CAGAGUAGAAAAUUCUGGGGGAAUUAAUGAUUCUUUCAACACACACAUGUAUAAUUGUUCAUACUUGUAAUUUUUAUGCAGUAGGAAGAUUGCCGGCUACUCAAGCUAAUUCGGAAGUGGUAUCUGCAUUUCGAAAUGCGGAAAGAGAAGAGGCUAGGGAACUUCUAUCUCGUUAUUUGAACGUGUGCUGCAAAUCGAAGGUAUCGUGUGUCUGAUUGGUGUGGAGUGCUCUGGACUGUUAUUACGACGUUUGAAAUGUCAUGUAUACGUUAUGUAUCGCUCUUCCACUGUUUCCUUCUCAACAUUUAGAAUAAUUGUUCUGUCUAGGUCGUGCAUUGUUACUUUGCUUAACUAAUUUGUUUUGGAAGUGUGGUCUAUUCUCACAAAAGGUCAUUUUAUUACUCGCAAUUGUCGUUGAUGAACUCAAGUUUAGGGCAUCUGCAACAUUUUCUACUGAACUUAAUUCAGUAAUGUUAUCUUAAUGGACAUGCUUAUUUUGGUAUGAUUUGCAUAAAUUGUUAGAUUGUUACAGGGACAAGUGUCUGAAUUCGACAUCUCUAACCACGUCUGAGUACGAUGAACAAGAUUGGACCAUUUCCUUUUAUGAUUCUUAUGUUGUAUUAAUGAUCACCAAGGUCACUUAAAAACUUCAUACCUUAAAUGGUAAGAAUUCUUAUCCUAUAUCAUUAAAAGCUGCUAGAGGAUUUUGUGCAUUUUGUUUCAAAAUGACUUAUGAGCCAGAUGUCAACAACUCAUUUUUGUUCCAAUACCUUGUGCUGAGAUUAUUUCAGGGCUCAGGCUCAGGUCUGGAUUGUGUAUUUGUGGGUUUCUUUUUUUGAGAAAUUUACUUAAUAGAAUGGUCGGUUGCACAAAUUGGGACCACAAUCAGAUAUCUUAACUUUAACUAGUUGUCUUAAUGCGUCGUUACAAUCUUUACCACAAGCAUUAACUCAAAUUUACCGAUUAAUGUUGAGGAUGAGCAAAACGUUAAAACAACAUUCAUGAGUAGGAUAUGUUUCCGUGCUUUCUGCCGAAAAUCCUGGCUCAUAUGGCACCAAUAUAUGAAUACCAUUUUUGAGUCUUUCCAUGUACCGUUUCUCUUAUUGUCCAGUACCCCCUACCAUCUCUCUCUCCCUCUCUCUCCCUCUCUUGUGAACUUUGGAAUAUCCGCCUUCUAUCUUACGCUCCCUCUCUUGUGAACUUUGGAAUAUCCGCCUUCUAUCUUACUGGAUAUCAACCUUUAACAAAAAUGAAAUUAGUUCAAUGUAUUUGCCUGCCCCUCUUCACCAAAAUUCCUUCUCCAUCCUAACUUUUACUAUCCCUUUAGUAAUUAUAGAAACUUAAGCACCAUUGUAAAUUUUCAUUAUAUUCUGUCGAGGCGUCGAUCACAACUGUGUCGCAUCUGUAUCUUGAUUUGAAUUUUCUAUCAUGACGAAGUAUUGAUGGACUAACGGGAAUGCAAUCAGAAGAGAAAGGUUCAUUCAUGAAUGAUGUUCAGCUUUUCUCUCCUCUUUUACUUUUUUUUCCUUCUGAAGAACACAUGUCUAAUUUUCAAUGAAAAAACACUGAAUGUGGAUAUGAAAAUGAACAGACUUAUGGGUGAAACAUAUCUAACAAUUUAGAGAAAUUAAAAUAGAAAUAGUUUUUUCUAAUGAAUUUAUUUUCUUUUUUUGGAUGUCAAAGAAAAUCCUGAGGAAGUAAAAAGUGAUGCGAUU